rnacentral:rRNA from 1 species
GAUAAACGCUGGCGGCGUGCCUAACACAUGCAAGUCGAACGCCCUUUUGCGCAAGUGAGAGGGAGUGGCGGACGGGUGAGUACCACGUGGGUACCUACCUUGAGGUGAGGAAUACCACCGAGAAAUCGGUGGACAAGACCGCAUACGCUCGGGCAACCGAGCAAAGUCAUGCAAAUGACGCCACAAGAUGAGCCUGCGCCUGAUUAGCUGGUUGGUGAGGAACAGCUCACCAAGGCGACGAUCAGUAGCUGGUCUGAGAGGAUGAUCAGCCACACUGGGAUUGAGAACGGCCCAGACUCCUACGGGGGGCAGCAGUGAGGAAUUUUCGUCAAGU